rnacentral:misc_RNA from 1 species
CGAACUGCGAUAAGUAAUGUGAAUUGCAGAAUUCAGUGAAUCAUCGAAUCUUUGAACGCACCUUGCGCUCCUUGGUAUUCCUUGGAGCAUGUCUGUUUGAGUAUCAUGAAAUCUUCAAAGUAAAUCUUUUGUUAACUCAAUUGGUUUCUACUUUGGUAUUGGAGGUCUUUGCAGCUUCACACCUGCUCCUCUUUGUUCAUUAGCUGGAUCUCAGUGUUAUGCUUGGUUCCACUCGGCGUGAUAAGUUAUCUAUCGCUGAGGACACUGUAAAAGGUGGCCAAGGUAAAUGCAGAUGAACCGCUUCUAAUAGUCCAUUGACUUGGACAAUACUUUUAUGAUCUGAUCUCAAAUCAGGUAGGACUACCCGCAGAACUUAAGC